UCAGGCAGCCAUGAGACCCUCUCUUCCCCAAGUCUCGUUUCUCUUUCUUCCUCUAGAUCUACAGAUUCUCAAUCUUUACGUUUCUGUUGAUCUCUAUCUCUUACUAUUUAUGUCUCAGUUUCUUCCUUUACUGUUUUUGUUCUCUCCUAAUACUUUUAUCUCUUCUUACUUAGGUUUUGAUUCUGUUUCUCACUCAUGUUGUUUUUUGAAGCGAUGAAGAACACCCAAAACCCAGAAGACGGACUCCUCUUCAGACAUCAUCAUCAAUGGCUGGCGAUUACAAAAAUCCGGGUGAUACGGGUGCACAUUCUGAAAUACUUGGGCAUAGUUCGAAGAAAUGGGUUGCUUAUUCUUUGCUGAGUCUAUAUGUUUUUCUUUGUGAAAUUAUUUAUGCUGCUUUCGUAGUAUAUUUAUGGUCCGCAAUUGGGACAUAUGAUGUUGUGAGAGCUCUACUACUGCUCAAUUUAGUCGAAGAUUUCUUUCCUGGUGUGACAAGAAAAAAUCCCUAACUUGGAUGUUGGUCAGUGUCAAGUGAUCCAGCGUUUGCUCGAAGUUACAGAAUCUGCAGCGAAUUCUCAGCCGAUGACACACCUAAAAAAUUAGUGAAAAAGGAUCCAGAUCAUUCAUACGUCGAUUCUGACAAAAGACAAACCUAUAGUGAAAGCUAUGUUACACCCAGUGACACUCGCAAAGCAUCCUCAAGGUUGGCUUCAAUUUGGUUGCUUUGAAUACCACAGGUAGAUCAUAAAUUUAUAAUCACAAGAAUAAGAAUUAUACGGUAGGUAUAUGUAUUUUGAAGGCACAGCCUCCGUGAAAACCUGUUGGAAGUAUCCUUGGUUCAUUCCAGUCUUAUGGGACGACAGAGGCACAAGCUGUUAUACUGUGUCGUUGGGCAACAUAAUCUAUUUUAUUAAUAUAGUGGUUUUCUAAUCUUACAGUAAUGUUGUGCAGAGAUAGUUCUUUAGUUCCAUCGGGAAAAGAUCUAUUAUCAAGAAGAGGAUCACAGCGGGAUGACGAAUGGAGUUCAGAUUUACUUGGCUGUUGUGCAGAACCUGCUUUGUGGAAAAGAUGGUGCUGCAGACUCAAUUUUCUCAAGUUCGGACACCUGUUGCGGUGACACCUCUACCCACGGGUAUUGUUGCAUAUCAUCUUGGAGGACAUUUACAUCCUCAUCCUCAACAGAUGUAUUUUAGUUAAGGUGGUCCUAGAUUUGUUCGAUAACUUGCAGCUUAUCGUUUCCAAUUCCAACUAUUGCCUGGGAUGAGGCCAAGUGUUUCCCCAAACUUUAUGAUGCCAUACCCGCUCCAGCGACAAUGGCAUCCUGGACAAAGAAUGAUUGCAAGGAGACAUGGGAACCCACAACAACAAAUGCAGCAACAACAUCAGAGGCUUGUGCAAGUAUGGUUAAAUAUCACAGGAACCUUACGGAGUGUGGAUACAGAGCACUAAUAUUCAGGGGUUGUAAACAGAAAAAGGUGGUGCCGGCAAUGAAGAGAAUGUGCUUUUCAGGAAUACCGUGAUAUGUGUGUACUAUAUACUGGGAGUGAACAGGAGGUCACUUGUUUUUUCAAUAAACGAGUUGCUGGGUAUACCUUCAAGGCUAUGACAAUAAUCUAAUUAUCCUCACUAUAAAGACUGCCAAAUACAAGAAGGGAAGUUGAAUAUUGAACCAGGUAAACCUAGUCUGGCAUUUCCUUUUAGAUCGUCAAUGGCUACAAUCAUCAAUCACAACAACUCCCUGUCUUCUAUAGCUUAGACCACAUCACUCCAUUUAUAUAUAGUUCUCCAUUCUUGCUAAGUUAUGAGAAGCAGUCUAUUACGUUCCGGCUUUGGCUUUGAUGAGCUUGGUCUUCUAAAACAGAUUCAGAUAACUUUUGUAUGCUUAUACUUGGGUUAUGAUAAAUUAGGUCACCCA